GUUGAAGGAUUUGGAAAAUUCCGCUAAAGAGGGUGAAAGCCCCGUAGACGAAAUGCUGACAACACCUAGGAGGAUCCUGAGUACGGCGGAACACGAGAAAUUCCGUCGGAAUCCGCGGGGACCAUCCCGCAAGGCUAAAUACUCCCUAGUGACCGAUAGUGAACCAGUACCGUGAGGGAAAGGUGAAAAGCACCCCGGAAGGGGAGUGAAAUAGAUCCUGAAACCGUGUGCCUACAACAAGUCAAAGCUCGUUAAUGAGUGAUGGCGUGCCUUUUGUAGAAUGAACCGGCGAGUUACGAUUGCAUGCGAGGUUAAGUCGAAGAGACGGAGCCGCAGCGAAAGCGAGUCUGAAUAGGGCGAAUGAGUAUGUAGUCGUAGACCCGAAACCAUGUGAUCUACCCAUGUCCAGGUUGAAGGUGCGGUAAAACGCACUGGAGGACCGAACCCACGUACGUUGAAAAGUGCGGGGAUGAGGUGUGGGUAGCGGAGAAAUUCCAAACGAACUUGGAGAUAGCUGGUUCUCUCCGAAAUAGCUUUAGGGCUAGCCUCGGAAUUGAGAAUGAUGGAGGUAGAGCACUGUUUGGACUAGGGGCCCAUCUCGGGUUACCGAAUUCAGAUAAACUCCGAAUGCCAUUCAUUUAUAUCCGGGAGUCAGACUGCGAGUGAUAAGAUCCGUAGUCGAAAGGGAAACAGCCCAGACCACCAGCUAAGGUCCCAAAAUAUAUGUUAAGUGGAAAAGGAUGUGGGGUUGCACAGACAACUAGGAUGUUGGCUUAGAAGCAGCCACCAUUUAAAGAGUGCGUAAUAGCUCACUAGUCGAGUGACCCUGCGCCGAAAAUGUACCGGGGCUAAACAUAUUACCGAAGCUGUGGACUACACCAUUAGGUGUAGUGGUAGGAGAGCGUUCUAAGGGCGUUGAAGGUCGAUCGUGAGGACGGCUGGAGCGCUUAGAAGUGAGAAUGCCGGUAUGAGUAGCGAAAGACAGGUGAGAAUCCUGUCCACCGUAUGACUAAGGUUUCCUGGGGAAGGCUCGUCCGCCCAGGGUUAGUCGGGACCUAAGCCGAGGCCGAUAGGCGUAGGCGAUGGACAACAGGUUGAUAUUCCUGUACCAGUUGUUUUUGUUUGAGCAAUGGAGGGACGCAGUAGGCUAAGGAAUGCAUGCGAUUGGAAGUGCAUGUCCAAGCAAUGAGUCUUGAGUAGAGUUAAAUGCUUUAC
rnacentral:rRNA from 1 species